GGAAGACCAAGGGUUCCUGUCCAACGUUAAUCGGGGCAGGGUGAGUCGACCCCUAAGGCGAGGCCGAAAGGCGUAGUCGAUGGGAAACGGGUUAAUAUUCCCGUACUUGGUGUUACUGCGAAGGGGGGACGGAGAAGGCUAUGUUGGCCGGGCGACGGUUGUCCCGGUUUAAGCGUGUAGGUGUGUGUUCCAGGUAAAUCCGGUUCACUUUAACACUGAGGCGUGAUGACGAGGCACUACGGUGCUGAAGCAACAAAUGCCCUGCUUCCAGGAAAAGCCUCUAAGCAUCAGGUAACAUCAAAUCGUACCCCAAACCGACACAGGUGGUCAGGUAGAGAAUACCAAGGCGCUUGAGAGAACUCGGGUGAAGGAACUAGGCAAAAUGGUGCCGUAACUUCGGGAGAAGGCACGCUGACACGUAGGUGAAGUGAUUUACUCAUGGAGCUGAAGUCAGUCGAAGAUACCAGCUGGCUGCAACUGUUUAUUAAAAACACAGCACUGUGCAAACACGAAAGUGGACGUAUACGGUGUGACGCCUGCCCGGUGCCGGAAGGUUAAUUGAUGGGGUCAGCGCAAGCGAAGCUCCUGAUCGAAGCCCCGGUAAACGGCGGCCGUAACUAUAACGGUCCUAAGGUAGCGAAAUUCCUUGUCGGGUAAGUUCCGACCUGCACGAAUGGCGUAAUGAUGGCCAGGCUGUCUCCACCCGAGACUCAGUGAAAUUGAACUCGCUGUGAAGAUGCAGUGUACCCGCGGCAAGACGGAAAGACCCCGUGAACCUUUACUAUAGCUUGACACUGAACAUUGAGCCUUGAUGUGUAGGAUAGGUGGGAGGCUUUGAAGCGUGGACGCCAGUCUGCGUGGAGCCGACCUUGAAAUACCACCCUUUAAUGUUUGAUGUUCUAACGUGGACCCGUGAUCCGGGUUGCGGACAGUGUCUGGUGGGUAGUUUGACUGGGGCGGUCUCCUCCUAAAGAGUAACGGAGGAGCACGAAGGUUGGCUAAUCCUGGUCGGACAUCAGGAGGUUAGUGCAAUGGCAUAAGCCAGCUUGACUGCGAGCGUGACGGCGCGAGCAGGUGCGAAAGCAGGUCAUAGUGAUCCGGUGGUUCUGAAUGGAAGGGCCAUCGCUCAACGGAUAAAAGGUACUCCGGGGAUAACAGGCUGAUACCGCCCAAGAGUUCAUAUCGACGGCGGUGUUUGGCACCUCGAUGUCGGCUCAUCACAUCCUGGGGCUGAAGUAGGUCCCAAGGGUAUGGCUGUUCGCCAUUUAAAGUGGUACGCGAGCUGGGUUUAGAACGUCGUGAGACAGUUCGGUCCCUAUCUGCCGUGGGCGCUGGAGAACUGAGGGGGGCUGCUCCUAGUACGAGAGGACCGGAGUGGACGCAUCACUGGUGUUCGGGUUGUCAUGCCAAUGGCACUGCCCGGUAGCUAAAUGCGGAAGAGAUAAGUGCUGAAAGCAUCUAAGCACGAAACUUGCCCCGA
rnacentral:rRNA from 1 species